rnacentral:rRNA from 1 species
GGCUCCUCGUUUACAUUUAGCCAUGAGGAGUCGAACCUGCCCAGUGAGGUUUUUAACGGCCGCGGUACUCUGACCGUGCAAAGGUAGCAUAAUCAUUUGCCUUAUAAUUGAAGGCUAGUAUGAAUGGUUUGACGAAAGCAGAUCUGUCUCCUUUUUAUUUUAUAGAAUUUAACUUUCGGGUGAAGAGGCUCGAAUAUAAUUGAAGGACAAGAAGACCCUGUCGAGCUUAAAAGAACAUGUAGAAGUUUGUAUAUAAACUCUUAAAUAAAUAAUCUACUGAGCUUUUUAGUUGGGGCGACUGAGGAACAAAAAAAGCUUCUUAAAUACAAAAAACCUACAAGUUUAGAUCCAACUAGCUUGAUUAAAGAAAUUAGUUACCGCAGGGAUAACAGCAUAAUCUCUCUUGAGAGACCUAAUCGAAAGAGGGGGUUGUGACCUCGAUGUUGGACUAGAAUAUCCUAAAGAUGCAGAAGUCUUUUAGGGUUGGUCUGUUCGACCAUUAAAAUUCUA